rnacentral:lncRNA from 1 species
CACGUAUAGUUACACCAAAGGGUUCUUAGGAAGGAUACAUAGAAAGGUCCUGCAGUCUCUAUCAAGGCAAACAGUAGCAAAGGAAAACUGCACAUACCAACCCGUAUCCUAUGUGAUGAGAGAUUCAAAAUUAAUUAAGAAAUUGACGAAAAAGAAAGAUAAGAAACUAGCUUUUAAAAGAUUUCCUACGUUAUUCAACCAAGUUAGGAACGAGAAGGACAAAGUGCAACUGAUGCUAAAAGUAGGGGUAUAUAAGAUACUGCUUAAAGAUGACGAUAUUGGAGCGGACAGAAGUAUACAUUGGUGUAACUACCAGAGCCCGAGGGAAAAGAAUAGGAGAACACAAGAAAGAUAUGGAAUAUUGAAGAAUGACCACAGCCUUAUCCAUGAAAGCUCUAGAGUCUAACAUUCGU